rnacentral:rRNA from 1 species
GACGAACGCUGGCGGCGUGCUUAACACAUGCAAGUCGAACGGGUCUGCCCUGUUUUUUGCGGGGUGGGUCAGUGGCGAACGGGUGAGUAACACGUGAGUAACCUGCCCCUCACUUCUGGAUAACCGCUUGAAAGGGUGGCUAAUACGGGGUGUUCUGGCUGUGCCGCAUGGUGUGGCUGGGAAAGAUUCACUUUUGUGGUGUUUUGGUGGGGGAUGGGCUCGCGGCCUAUCAGCUUGUUGGUGGGGUGAUGGCCUGCCAAGGCUUUGACGGGUAGCCGGCCUGAGAGGGUGGGCGGUCACACUGGGACGGAGAUACGGCCCAGACUCCUGCGGGAGGCAGCAGUGGGGGGUAUUGCACAAUGGGCGGAAGCCUGAUGCAGCGACGUCGCGUGAGGGAUGGAGGCCUUCGGGUUGUGAACCUCUUUCGCCGGUGAAGAAGGUCCUGCUCUUUGUGGUGGGGUUGACGGUGGCCGGGUUAUGAAGCGCCGGCUAACUACGUG